rnacentral:rRNA from 1 species
CAGGACGAACGCUGGCGGCGUGCCUAAUACAUGCAAGUCGAACGCACUGACGUCGACAGAAGGUGCUUGCACUGGAAGUUGAUUGACGUGAGUGGCGGACGGGUGAGUAACACGUGGGUAACCUGCCCUUAAGCGGGGGAUAACAUUUGGAAACAGAUGCUAAUACCGCAUAAAAGUUGAGAUCACAUGGUCUUAAUUUGAAAGACGGCCUUUGGCUGUCACUUAAGGAUGGACCCGCGGCGUAUUAGCUAGUUGGUGAGAUAAUAGCCCACCAAGGCGAUGAUACGUAGCCGACCUGAGAGGGUAAUCGGCCACAUUGGGACUGAGACACGGCCCAAACUCCUACGGGAGGCAGCAGUAGGGAAUCUUCCACAAUGGACGAAAGUCUGAUGGAGCAACGCCGCGUGAGUGAAGAAGGUUUUCGGAUCGUAAAACUCUGUUGUUGGAGAAGAACAGGGACUAGAGUAACUGUUAGUCCUUUGACGGUAUCCAACCAGAAAGCCACGGCUAACUACGUGCCAGCAGCCGCGGUAAUACGUAGGUGGCAAGCGUUGUCCGGAUUUAUUGGGCGUAAAGCGAGCGCAGGCGGUUUCUUAAGUCUGAUGUGAAAGCCUUCGGCUUAACCGAAGAAGUGCAUCAGAUACUGGGAAACUUGAGUGCAGAAGAGGGAAGUGGAACUCCAUGUGUAGCGGUGAAAUGCGUAGAUAUAUGGAAGAACACCAGUGGCGAAGGCGGCUUUCUGGUCUGUAACUGACGCUGAGGCUCGAAAGUAUGGGGAGCGAACAGGAUUAGAUACCCUGGUAGUCCAUACCGUAAACGAUGAAUGCUAAGUGUUGGAGGGUUUCCGCCCUUCAGUGCCGCAGCUAACGCAUUAAGCAUUCCGCCUGGGGAGUACGACCGCAAGGUUGAAACUCAAAGGAAUUGACGGGGGCCCGCGCAAGCGGUGGAGCAUGUGGUUUAAUUCGAAGCUACGCGAAGAACCUUACCAGGUCUUGACAUCUAGCGCCAAUCCUAGAGAUAGGACGUUCCCUUCGGGGACGCUAAGACAGGUGGUGCAUGGUUGUCGUCAGCUCGUGUCGUGAGAUGUUGGGUUAAGUCCCGCAACGAGCGCAACCCUUAUGAUUAGUUGCCAGCAUUAAGUUGGGCACUCUAAUCAGACUGCCGGUGACAAAC